CGUGGCAUAGAUUCAGUAGGUUUUGGCCGACACGACAGCAUCACUCAGUAUUUGAAGAUUUGUUGGCUGCAGAUCCAUUAUUCCACUCUGUAGCCUCCAGAAGCUGGGAACUCUGGAGUGACGAAGGGCUGGACACGGUCAGCAGCAAUACACAGCUGCUUUUGUCUCCAUGUGGGAAUUGCAAUUAUAGACKGUAAGUGCGCACUAACAAGCCACAGAGAGCGGGGAACACAUCAAGUAAAGUUUUAACAUUCAGUUUCAACUUCUGUUAAAUCAAUGAGAAAACUGGCUUUCGUUUWUUAUUAUUUAAUGUGCUUCUGCUCAGUCACUUAUUUGGGAAUAAAGGACGAAGGCAAAGAGGCAGACACUGAAAAGGUAUCUGAGGAAAAAAAAAGUUUGUUMAACUCUGAGAAAUAAACUCCUCCUGAAGCUGAUGUCUUAAAUUGUGACAACAUCAGAAACGGUUGAAGUCAAAAGCAAAAGUGAAACGAUAAAUCAUUCAGCAUGGAGCCCAUUGUGGCUUGCAAAAGUAUUCAUACCCAUUAAAAUACACUUUGAUACAAGCUUCAAAACAUCUGCAUUUUUAACCAUACAAAUUAUUAAAAUGAGAAUGUUUUGCAAAUAUACAUUUUUAAAGAAGUAUCCUAAAAAUGAAGCUA